rnacentral:rRNA from 1 species
UAGGGAAUCUUCGGCAAUGGACGAAAGUCUGACCGAGCAACGCCGCGUGAGUGAAGAAGGUUUUCGGAUCGUAAAACUCUGUUGGUAGAGAAGAACGUUGGUGAGAGUGGAAAGCUCAUCAAGUGACGGUAACUACCCAGAAAGGGACGGCUAACUACGUGUCAG